rnacentral:rRNA from 1 species
AGUUUGAUCAUGGCUCAGAAUCAACGCUGGCGGCGUGCCUAACACAUGCAAGUCGAACGAGAAAGUCCCCGCAAGGGGAUGAGUAAAGUGGCGACCGGGUGAGUAACACGUAGCUAACCUACCCUCGAGUGGGGGAUAACCUGGGGAAACCUGGGCUAAUACCGCAUAAGAUCCUGAUGGCGUCAGUCGUUGGGAGCAAAGGCCCGCAAGGGUCGCUGGAGGAGGGGGCUGCGGCCGAUUAGCUAGUUGGUGAGGUAAUGGCCCACCAAGGCGAUGAUCGGUAGCCGGCCUGAGAGGGCGCACGGCCACACUGGCACUGACACACGGGCCAGACUCCUACGGGAGGCAGCAGUGGGGAAUUUUGCACAAUGCCCGAAAGGGUGAUGCAGCAACGCCGCGUGAGGGAUGAAGGCCUUCGGGUCGUAAACCUCUUUCGAUCGGGAAAAAUGGUCUCGAGAAGAUCGGGAUCUGAUGGUACCGGAAGAAGAAGCCCCGGCCAACUACGUGCCAGCAGCCGCGGUAAUACGUAGGGGGCGAGCGUUGUUCGGAAUUACUGGGCGUAAAGGGCGUGUAGGCGGUGUGGUAAGUUGGGCGUGAAAUCCCCGGGCUUAACCCGGGGGGG